AGGGUUUGAUCAUGGCUCAGAACGUACGCUGGCGGCACGCCUUAUACAUGCAAGUCGAACGAAGUAGCAAUACUUAGUGGCAGACGGGUGAGUAACAUGUGGGUAUCUUCCCUAUGGUGAGGAAUAACACGAGGAAACUUGUGCUAAUACCUCAUAAGUCUUUACGGAGAAAGCUUUAUGCGCCAUUGGAUGAGCCCGCACUUGAUUAGUUAGUUGGUGGGGUAAAAGCCUACCAAGACUUUGAUCAAUAGCUGAUUUGAGAGGAUGAUCAGCCACAUUGGGACUGAGACACGGCCCAAACUCCUACGGGAGGCAGCAGUAAGGAAUCUUGCACAAUGGAGGAAACUCUGAUGCAGCGAUGCCGCGUGAGUGAAGAAGGCCUUUGGGUUGUAAAGCUCUUUCGUCGGGGAAGAAAAUGACUGUACCCGAAUAAGAAGGUCCGGCUAACUUCGUGCCAGCAGCCGCGGUAAUACGAAGGGACCUAGCGUAGUUCGGAAUUACUGGGCUUAAAGAGUUCGUAGGUGGUUAAAAAAGUUGGUGGUGAAAUCCCAGAGCUUAACUCUGGAACUGCCAUCAAAACUUUUUAGCUAGAGUUUGAUAGAGGAAAGCAGAAUUUCUAGUGUAGAGGUGAAAUUCGUAGAUAUUAGAAAGAAUACCGAUUGCGAAGGCAGCUUUCUGGAUCAAUACUGACACUGAGGAACGAAAGCAUGGGUAGCGAAGAGGAUUAGAUACCCUGGUAGUCCACGCCGUAAACGAUGGGCACUAAGCGUCCGACGGGUUCGACCCUGUUGGGUGCUGCAGUUAACGCGUUAAGUGCCCCGCCUGGGGAGUACGGUCGCAAGACUAAAACUCAAAGGAAUUGACGGGGGCCCGCACAAGCGGUGGAGCAUGUGGUUUAAUUCGAUGCAACGCGAAAAACCUUACCUACUCUUGACAUACUUGGAAGCUCUUGUAAUAAGAGUGUGCCUUUUGGAGCCAAGAUACAGGUGCUGCAUGGCUGUCGUCAGCUCGUGUCGUGAGAUGUUCCGUUAAGUCGGAUAACGAGCGCAACCCUUACCCUUAUUUGCCAGCGAUUCGGUCGGGAACUAUAAGGGGACUGCCGGUGAUAAACCGGAGGAAGGUGAGGACGACGUCAAGUCAUCAUGGCCCUUACGAGUAGGGCUACACACGUGCUACAAUGGGGAAUACAGACGGACGCUAAGCCGCGAGGUGGUGCUAAUCCCAAAAAACUCCUCGUAGUCCGGAUUGCAGUCUGCAACUCGACUGCAUGAAGUCGGAAUCGCUAGUAAUCGCGAAUCAGCAUGUCGCGGUGAAUACGUUCUCGGGUCUUGUACACACCGCCCGUCACACCAUGGGAGUGUAUUGCACCAGAAGUGGGUAGUCUAACCUUUCGGAGGACGCUCACCACGGUGUGAUCCAUGACUGGGGUGAAGUCAUAACAAGGUAGCCGUA
rnacentral:rRNA from 1 species